CUAAACCUAGAGACCCCAAACGGUGCCCCAAUCAUGUUCCUUUAUCCGCCUUGCUCAAACUGAUCCCAACUCAGCUGAAACUCAGGCGAGUUCAUCUAAAACUCACCUCGCGCGCUCCCCCCUUCUCUCCUCUUUCCACAUAGUGUAACGGUUUCUGACACCAAGAAGAUUCCCUCCCGCACUCGCCCGUUUUCAAGCUAUAUCACGCGAUUAGAAGGUUCUGGAGGACGUGUGUUGGAUGAAUGAGAGGCGUAGGAUCGAUUUCAUUCAAUCUGAGCCUCACAUUCAUCAUGUGCUCGUUUUCAAAUAGGCCUUAUCUGAUUUCUUGAAGAAAAAGAAAGAAUCUGGAAGAGCUAAUUUGAACUCGAUGUGGAGUUUGAUUGAAUUCUAUGGGAGUAUUUUUGGUUGUCGUUCGCGAUUUUGAUUCGUUUUCGAUGAUUCUGUCCCAUUCUGCUUUGGUUUUCUCGUUUGGAUUUGGAGCCAAGCUUGUAUUUGAUGAUUGCUUCUCUUAUUAUUAAAAGAUUUUUCUCAACAGGUCUGUUUCCUACUAUUCUAUCUUAAUUUUCUUAACAUUAAUGGUAGCCUUGGAAGAUCCAUCUAGAGAGGGAUAAAUUUUUGCAUCUAGUUUGUUUGGGUCUAAAUGUCAGUUCAUAGCAGUUCAACAUGAUGACGGUUUGGGUUAUAUUCUGAUUUGUUGGUUAUUUGAGUUGUUUAAUAUGCAUUAGUUUGAAUAUUUGAUUGGUGUGGUAAGUAGUAUCUUUUUUAUUAUUAAUGAUUUGAGGUUGACAUUUAAUUAAUCUUCUAUUAUUAACCUAAAUCUAAGAAACUAAGGCAGUUUGUUAUAUGGAUGAAUUUGGUUACCGUCGUUCAUUUUGCAAUGUUUGAGAUUAAAUAUGUCAGAAUGACUUUCGAGCUUCUCUUUUGGAUUUCCUCGGUUUCCUACCUUAAUUGUAAUAACUCAAUAUGGGAUUGGUGAGAUUUUGAUGAUGUGUUAUGAGCAAUUUUGUUAGGUUGCAGCAGAUUUUGGUGGAACUGAAUGCAUAGCAAGUCUCUUGGGAUUUUUAAAUGAGUUUGUGAGUUUAUUUGAGGAUUAAUUAUCACUGAUAUGGCUUAUGGCAUGAAAUAUUCAAUUCUCAAACAAUGUUCUUAAUCCAUACUUAGGUUUAUCCUAGCUUGACGUAAAUCAUGCUGGUUUUCUUGUCCUCUUUAAAUGCUUUUCUCAGGGAAAUUUUCAAGAUGAUAUUGGGUUCUAUUAAAUGUUGAUAAAUUGGAUUGAGCUAGUGAAAAUUUAUUAAUUCAUCCGAAUUUGAAAAGUUCAUCAAUCUUGUAUA